rnacentral:rRNA from 1 species
AUUGAACGCUGGCGGCAUGCUUUACACAUGCAAGUCGAACGGUAACAGGGAGCUUGCUCCGCUGACGAGUGGCGAACGGGUGAGUAAUAUAUCGGAACGUGCCCAAGAGUGGGGGAUAACGUAGCGAAAGUUACGCUAAUACCGCAUACGGUCCAAGGAUGAAAGCAGGGGACCUUCGGGCCUUGUGCUCCUGGAGCGGCCGAUAUCUGAUUAGCUAGUUGGUGAGGUAAAGGCUCACCAAGGCGACGAUCAGUAGCUGGUCUGAGAGGACGACCAGCCACACUGGGACUGAGGCACGGUCCAGACUCCUACGGGAGGCAGCAGUGGGGAAUUUUGGACAAUAGGGGCAACCCUGAUCCAGCAAUGCCGCGUGAGUGAAGAAGGCCUUCGGGUUGUAAAGCUCUUUUGUCAGGGAAGAAAAGGGUACGGCUAAUAUCCGUGCCUCAUGACGGUACCUGAAGAAUAAGCACCGGCUAACUACGUGCCAGCCGCCGCAGUAA